GCUUUCAUGGUGUAGCCAAAGUC
rnacentral:siRNA from 1 species